rnacentral:rRNA from 1 species
CCCUUAGAUGUCCUGGGCCGCACGCGCGCUACACUGAUGCAUUCAACGAGUAUUUCCUUGGCCGAGAGGCCUGGGCAAUCUUUUAAACCUGCAUCGUGAUAGGGAUAGAUUAUUGCAAUUAUUAAUCUUGAACGAGGAAUUCCUAGUAAACGCAAAUCAUCAAUUUGCAUUGAUUACGUCCCUGCCCUUUGUACACACCGCCCGUCGCACCUACCGAUUGAAUGGUCCGGUGAAAUCUCGGGAUUGUGGCCAGUUCACUUUAUUGGGAGUUGACUGCGAGAACUUGCUUAAACCUUAUCAUUUAGAGGAAGGUGAAGUCGUAACA